rnacentral:rRNA from 1 species
GGGGAAUUUUCCGCAAUGGGCGAAAGCCUGACGGAGCAAUACCGCGUGAGGGAGGAAGGCUCUUGGGUUGUAAACCUCUUUUCUCAGGGAAUAAAAAAGAAGGUACCUGAGGAAUAAGCAUCGGCUAACUCCGUGCCANNNGCCGCGGUAAUACGGAGGAUGCAAGCGUUAUCCGGAAUGAUUGGGCGUAAAGCGUCCGCAGGUGGAAUUUCAAGUCUGCUGUCAAAGANUUUGGCUCAACCAAAUAAAGGCAGUGGAAACUGAAAAACUAGAGUACGUUCGGGGUAGAGGGAAUUCCUGGUGUAGCGGUGAAAUGCGUAGAGAUCAGGAAGAACACCGGUGGCGAAAGCGCUCUACUAGGCCGUAACUGACACUGAGGGACGAAAGCUAGGGGAGCGAAUGGGAUUAGAUACCCCAGUAGUC